GACGAACGCUGGCGGCGUGCUUAACACAUGCCAGUCGAACGGAAAGGCCCCUUUGGGGGUACUCGAGUGGCGAACGGGUGAGUAACACGUGAGUAACCUGCCCUUGACUUCGGGAUAACUUCAGGAAACUGGGGCUAAUACCGGAUAGGAAUCCUUGCUGCAUGGUGGGGGUUGGAAAGCUUCGGCGGUUUUGGAUGGACUCGCGGCUUAUCAGCUUGUUGGUGGGGUAGUGGCUUACCAAGGCUUUGACGGGUAGCCGGCCUGAGAGGGCGACCGGCCACAUUGGGACUGAGAUACGGCCCAGACUCCUACGGGAGGCAGUAGUGGGGAAUAUUGCACAAUGGGCGGAAGCCUGAUGCAGCAACGCCGCGUGCGGGAUGACGGCCUUCGGGUUGGAAACCGCUUUCAGCAGGGGCGAAGCUUGUGGUGACGGUACCUGCAGAAGAAGCACCGGCUAACUACGUG
rnacentral:rRNA from 1 species